rnacentral:rRNA from 1 species
UACGGAGGUGGCAAGCGUUGCUCGGAAUCACUGGGCGUAAAGGGCGCGUAGGCGGGGAGGUAAGUCGGGUGUGAAAUCCCUCGGCCCCAACCGAGGAACUGCGCCCGAGACUGCCUUCUCUGAGGUCCCGGAGAGGAAGAUGGAAUUCCCGGUGUAGCGGUGAAAUGUGUAGAGAUCGGGAGGAACACCGGUGGCGAAGGCGGUCUUCUGGACGGUGACUGACG